GUCCAACAUAUCAUCUGUUCGUCUACACGAUUGCUUGUGCGUGUGUGUGUGUGUGUGUGUGUGUCUUUUUGUUUAUCCACUUGUCUGUUUUCUUACAAGAGUGUAUUAAUGUUCAACGAUUUACUCACUCACCUAGCAAAGCAUAUCGAAUAGGGGUUACAAAAAAAUGAUAAAUUGUGAAUCAAAAGAAAUUCCAGGAGAAUCAAACGAAAGUAAAAACAGUUGUUACAUUAAUAUUUGCGACUUUUUCAAAAAAGAUGAAGAAAUAAAUAAUAUAUUAAAGAAUUUAAAAAACGAUGAAAGACAUUUAAGUUUUCCAUUAUUAAAUUUUUAUUUUUUAAAUAAAAAUUUCAAAUAUACUAAUUUAAAAGAAAGUUUAGAAUUAAAAGAAAAUGCCAAUGAGUACAUAAAUUUGAGACUUCUUAGGAAAGAAGUUUACCCAAAGGAUAUAUAUUUUAAAAAGGAAAAAGACAAAAGAGAAAACGCAGCAAUUAAAAAAUUGAUGAUUAUAAAAAAUUUAAUAAAUUUGAAAAAAAAACAUACUACUAAUAAGAAAGUUACUUCCAACAGCAUUAGCAGUUGUUAUAGCGAUAAUACCGACAACAGUUGCUAUAACAUUCACAGUAAUGUUAGUAGUAGUGUGGGCAGCUGCAGCAGAAGUAGCAGUACUAGUAGUAGUCGUACAGACAUAUAUAAUGCUUUCUCCAACCUUAACGAAAAAAGCCAUAACAACCAGAUUAACAAUCCAAAGGUAUAUGAUGGUGACGAUGGCCAAUUGAUUGUGGAUGACAUACCAAAUGACAUACCAAAUGAUGAUGAUGAUGAUGGUAAUAAUAAUUUAGUUAGUGAUGUGGCAAAUGUUUGGGGAAAAGAUGACAUAAUUGGGACAUAUAAUCCUGUAUAUAAUGCUAGAGAUAAAAUAAGAAAUGAUAAUAAUAAUAAUAAUAAUAGUACUAAAUGUUUAAUUCCAACUAUAGAUAUUUUUUAUAAUUCUUUAAAAUUACUUACUAUCCAAACAAUUUUUGAACCAAUAAAUAAUUAUAUUUAUUUAUUACGUUUAUUACCACAUUUUUGUUUACCUUUAUAUGAUUCUGGUAUUUUACAAUAUGUAUGUGAAGACCCCAUUUUAAAUCCCAAAUUAAAAGGAUUAGAGUUAUCUUAUCGAUUAUUAGUUCACGAUAUUUUAUUUUAUGUAUUUUUUUCAUAUUUAGC
rnacentral:lncRNA from 1 species